rnacentral:rRNA from 1 species
AUGCGAGGAAAACAACAUGGAACACAACAGAACAGAACAGAAGAGAACAGCACAGAAGAGGUGAUUUCAGUUUCCAAGAGGAUGAGGCAGCACCGCACCGCAGCAGCUAGCGCGGGUGGGAUGUCAGGCAUGGCGCCACGCCACGCCGCGCCGCCCGCCUCCCUCCAUUAUGUCAGGCGUGAGCCCAUCCGUUGUUGGCCUCUGCCUAGGUCUUCUCCCCGCAGCUCGCUCUCUCACGAAGCCGGCUACAGAGGGGCGAUGGAGGUGGACGAGCUGCUGAGGAAGAUACGGGAGCUGGAGCAGGGGCAGGCCGAGCUCGUGCGGGAGAUUGGCAGGCUCGCACCGGGGCCCCGCCGCCGCCCCCGCCCCGCGUUCUCGUCGCGGCGCGCCGUCGCCGCGCUCCCGGACCCGUCGCCGCGGCCGCUUCGCGACAACCGCGCCAGGCUCUCCGACAGGCACUGCCACUGGAUACUGCAGUCGCUGGGCCAGGCCGUGCACAUCAUCGCGCCCGACGGCAAGCUCCUCUACUGGAACCGGUAUGCUGAGCAUAUGUAUGGCUAUUCUGCAUCAGAAGCAAUUGGCCAGGAUGCCAUUGAGUUAAUUGUUCAUCCUACAGACUAUGAUGCUGCAACCGUCGUUAUCCAGAAUAUAUUUAUGGGCAAGUGUUUUAGAGGAAAGUUUCCUGUUAAAAACAAGUCAGGAGAGAGGUUCUUUAUUGUUGUCCAUAACACUCCUUUAUAUGAUGACGAUGGUAGCUUGAUUGGCCUCAUAUGUGUCUCGCUUGAUGUACGGACACUGCAGGAGAUAUUUAGUCCUUCAACCACAGAGAAAUCCUAUCAAAGUUCAUCAAAGCCCCAUUUUCAUGUUAACAACCGGCCUAAAAGUGGUUCACAAAACAAAGGUUCUUUUGACUCCCAGCAACCUCUUCAAUCUGCUAUCACCUCCAGGAUAACAACUUUUGCCACCAAGCUUACAAGUAGAGUCCGUUCUCGGAUAAGGACGGGUCAGAAUUGUGAGAGACGGUGUGCUAGUGGCUGUGAGGAUCAGUAUUCUGAACAUGAUGUCAGGGCGGACCUCACAUCAAGUGAGGCAAGCACCCUGAAUGGGGAUGUACGGUAUGGCGCUUUUGUUGCUGAAGAGAAAUCCCCUGGGGAGUUGAGCAAAACAAAUAUCGAUGAUUCAGGAGAAGGAAAAGUAGGGUUUCACAAAAUGUUUAGUUCAAAGGCCGAGGUAUUGCUGGCCAAGAAGGGGAUAUCCUGGCCUCGGAAAGGGCGUGAAAAUGAUGGGGGUUCUGGGAAGAGUAACAUACCCUCAACACAUUUACAUGAUAAGCAAGCGAAUGACCAGAGUCAUCAGAGAGUUCCAGUUGUACAGUCUAUCAUAAUUCCAGACUGCCAAGACACUAAAUACGCCCACUCAAGCAAAUAUGAGUUCUCAGGUUCCUGGUGGACUUUUAACAACACCAGUAGUAUCAGCAGCACAAGUACUAUUGGCAGUCCUAUCGAGAGAGUGGAUUAUGAAGCGGACUGCUUAGAUUAUGAGAUUCUGUGGAAAGAUCUGCUAAUUGGAGAACAAGUAGGCCAAGGUUCUUGUGGAACAGUGUAUCAUGCUUUGUGGUAUGGUUCGGAUGUGGCAGUUAAAUUAUUCUCCAAGCAGGAAUAUUCAGAAGAAAUGAUAAAUACGUUCAGACAAGAGGUAUCACUGAUGAAGAAACUCCGACAUCCCAGUAUAAUACUUUUCAUGGGUGCAGUUGCAUCAGAGGAACGACUUUGUAUUGUUACAGAAUUCCUCCCACGAGGGAGUUUGUUUCAGUUGCUUCAAAAGGACACUGGCAAGUUGGAUCCAAGACGUAAACUUAACAUGGCCAUAGACAUUGCAAGGGGCAUGAAUUAUCUUCACAGUUCCAUCCCCACUAUUGUGCACCGUGAUUUAAAAUCGUCAAACCUGUUGGUUGAUAAGAAUUGGACUGUAAAGGUUGCAGACUUUGGUCUUUCGCGCCUCAAACUUGAAACAUUUCUGACAACAAAAGGUGGAAAAGGAACACCGCAGUGGAUGGCUCCAGAAGUGUUACGCAGUGAACCUUCAAAUGAAAAGUCUGAUGUAUACAGCUAUGGAGUGGUCCUGUGGGAGCUUGUUACUCAUAAGAUACCAUGGGAUACUCUCAAUCCAAUGCAGAUUAUCGCAGCUGUGGGUUUCAUGGAUCAUAGACUGGAGAUUCCAAGCAACAUGGACCCUCAGUGGGCAUCGAUCAUCGAGAGUUGCUGGGACAGCGACCCGCAGCGUCGCCCUUCGUUCCAAGAGCUCCUGGAGAGGCUCCAGGACCUGCAGAAGCAGUACAUCGUGCAGGCUCGGACACGGCGUGAAGCUGCUGGGAAAGGUGCUGGAAAGAUGAGCGCUGAAGAUUGCUAG